AACACCUCAAAGCUUUUGAUCUUUUUCAAAAGUUUUGGACUUGAGCAAUCCCAACACCAGUCUUUUCGGAUCGGUGGCGGGUUGCUUGAAAUGCAGGUGCAGCUGGACAUUCUCCUGAGCUAAAAGCAUAUUUAUUUAGUCCCGUCAAACGGAUUAUUACUUUUGCUGCAGCUAAUAUAAAGGGAGUUUGACCGUAUUGGCUGACUGAUGCAGGAUUUCACAAAGGUCGGAAACGAUUUUUGUAAA
rnacentral:misc_RNA from 1 species